GGGCAAUGCGGCGUGCUUACACAUGCAGUCGAACGAUGAUCCCAGCUUGCUGGGGGAUUAGUGGCGAACGGGUGAGUAACACGUGAGUAACCUGCCCUUGACUCUGGGAUAAGCCUGGGAAACUGGGUCUAAUACCGGAUACGACCAUCUGGCGCAUGUCAUGGUGGUGGAAAGCUUUUGUGGUUUUGGAUGGACUCGCGGCCUAUCAGCUUGUUGGUGGGGUAAUGGCCUACCAAGGCGACGACGGGUAGCCGGCCUGAGAGGGUGACCGGCCACACUGGGACUGAGACACGGCCCAGACUCCUACGGGAGGCAGCAGUGGGGAAUAUUGCACAAUGGGCGCAAGCCUGAUGCAGCGACGCCGCGUGAGGGAUGACGGCCUUCGGGUUGUAAACCUCUUUCAGUAGGGAAGAAGCGUAAGUGACGGUACCUGCAGAAGAAGCGCCGGCUAACUACGUGCCAGCAGCCGCGGUAAUACGUAGGGCGCAAGCGUUAUCCGGAAUUAUUGGGCGUAAAGAGCUCGUAGGCGGUUUGUCGCGUCUGCUGUGAAAGACCGGGGCUCAACUCCGGUUCUGCAGUGGGUACGGGCAGACUAGAGUGCAGUAGGGGAGACUGGAAUUCCUGGUGUAGCGGUGAAAUGCGCAGAUAUCAGGAGGAACACCGAUGGCGAAGGCAGGUCUCUGGGCUGUAACUGACGCUGAGGAGCGAAAGCAUGGGGAGCGAACAGGAUUAGAUACCCUGGUAGUCCAUGCCGUAAACGUUGGGCACUAGGUGUGGGGGGACAUUCCACGUUUUCCGCGCCGUAGCUAACGCAUUAAGUGCCCCGCCUGGGGAGUACGGCCGCAAGGCUAAAACUCAAAGGAAUUGACGGGGGCCCGCACAAGCGGCGGAGCAUGCGGAUUAAUUUCGAUGCAACGCGAAGAACCUUACCAGGCUUGACAUGAACCGGAAAGACCUGGAAACAGGUGCCCCGCUUGCGGUCGGUUUACAGGUGUGCAUGGGUUGUCGUCAGCUCGUGUCGUGAGAUGUGGGGUUAAGUCCCGCAACGAGCGCACCCUCGUUCUAUGUUGCCAGCGCGUUAUGCCGGGGACUCAUAGGAGACUGGCCGGGGUCGACUCGCAGGGAGGUGGGACGACGUCAAAUCAUCAUGCCCCUUUAUGUCUUGGUCCUUCACCGCAUGC
rnacentral:rRNA from 1 species